rnacentral:rRNA from 1 species
GAAUAUUGGACAAUGGGGGCAACCCUGAUCCAGCAGUGCCGCGUGUGUGAAGAAGGCCUGCGGGUUGUAAAGCACUUUCAGCAGGGAAGAAAAGCCCGGGGAUAACACCCCCGGGUCUUGACGUUACCUGAAGAAGAAGCACCGGCUAACUCCGUGCCAGCAGCCGCGGUAAUACGGAGGGUGCGAGCGUUAAUCGGAAUUACUGGGCGUAAAGCGCACGCAGGCGGUUGGGUAAGUCGGAUGUGAAAGCCCUGGGCUUAACCUGGGAACUGCAUUCGAUACUGCCCGGCUGGAGUAUGGGAGAGGGAAGCGGAAUUUCCGGUGUAGCGGUGAAAUGCGUAGAUAUCGGAAGGAACACCAAUGGCGAAGGCAGCUUCCUGGCCCAAUACUGACGCUCAGGUGCGAAAGCGUGGGGAGCAAACAGG